AACGAACGCUGGCGGCGCGUCUUAAGCAUGCAAGUCGAACGGCAAGAUUGGUGCUUGCACCGAUCCUAGAGUGGCGGACUGGUGAGUAACGCGUGGGUGACGUACCCUAAGGAUGGGGAUAGCUGGUAGAAAUAUCAGAUAAUACCGAAUAUCCUUAUUGUUGUUAGAGGACAGUAAGGAAAGGAGCUUUGGCUUCGCCUAAGGAUCGGCCCGCGUACUAUUAGCUAGUUGGUGAGGUAACGGCUCACCAAGGCGACGAUAGUUAUCCGGCCUGAGAGGGUGAACGGACACAUUGGGACUGAGAUACGGCCCAGACUCCUACGGGAGGCAGCAGCUAAGAAUAUUCCGCAAUGGAGGAAACUCUGACGGAGCGACGCCGCAUGGAUGAUGAAGGCCGGAAGGUUGUAAAAUCCUUUUAAGCAAGAAGAAUAAACUUUACAGGGAAUGGUAGAGUGGUGACGGUAUUGCUUGAAUAAGCAACGGCUAAUUACGUGCCAGCAGCCGCAGUAAAAC
rnacentral:rRNA from 1 species